GAGAUACAUCAAAAGCUAAUGCAGAUGAGUUUUACCCAUUAUUGGAGGGGUUGACUAAUCUAACUAAAGAUGCUGAUUAUGAUGCCAGAGAAAGUUUGGGUUCUGUUAAAGUGCUGGAGGAAGUAGGAUGAUUCCGCAUAAUGCAUUCUGGAUGUAUUUCACGUGAAUUAAAUUUGUCAUUCUUGUCCCAUGGCAGCAAUUUAUUAUGUGAUCUAUAACAGAAGUCAAGAAACAAAAGAAAUAUACCUUAAGCCCCUUCUGAAUUGGGUCAGACUUGUAGUAUUCAUGGGAUCUUUCUGGUCGGUAUGUAAAUUU
rnacentral:misc_RNA from 1 species